AACGCUAGCGGCAGGCUUAACACAUGCAAGUCGAGGGGUAGAAGGAGCUUGCUCCUUUGAGACCGGCGCACGGGUGCGUAACGCGUAUGCAAUCUACCUUGUACAGGGGGAUAGCCCAGAGAAAUUUGGAUUAAUACCCCAUAGUAUUUUCAGAUGGCCUCAUUUGAUUAUUAAAGUUCCAACGGUACAAGAUGAGCAUGCGUCCCAUUAGCUAGUUGGUGUGGUAACGGCAUACCAAGGCAACGAUGGGUAGGGGUCCUGAGAGGGAGAUCCCCCACACUGGUACUGAGACACGGACCAGACUCCUACGGGAGGCAGCAGUGAGGAAUAUUGGUCAAUGGGCGCAAGCCUGAACCAGCCAUGCCGCGUGCAGGAUGACGGUCCUAUGGAUUGUAAACUGNUUUUGUACAUGAAGAAACCCUCCCUUGUAAGGGAGCUUGACGG
rnacentral:rRNA from 1 species